rnacentral:rRNA from 1 species
UACGUAGGGUGCGAGCGUUAAUCGGAAUUACUGGGCGUAAAGCGUGCGCAGGCGGUUCGUUGUGUCGGCGGUGAAAGCCCCGGGCUUAACCUGGGAAUGGCCGUUGAAACUGGCGAACUGGAGUGUGGCAGAGGGGGGUGGAAUUCCGCGUGUAGCAGUGAAAUGCGUAGAGAUGUGGAGGAACACCGAUGGCGAAGGCAGCCCCCUGGGUCAAGAUUGACGCUCAUGCACGAAAGCGUGGGGAGCAAACAGG